AUAAUGGGUCAGCGACUUAUAUUCUGUAGCAAGGUUAACCGUAUAGGGGAGCCGAAGGGAAACCGAGUCUUAACCGGGCGUUAAGUUGCAGGGUAUAGACCCGAAACCCGGUGAUCUAGCCAUGGGCAGGUUGAAGGUUGGGUAACACUAACUGGAGGACCGAACCGACUAAUGUUGAAAAAUUAGCGGAUGACCUGUGGCUGGGGGUGAAAGGCCAAUCAAACCGGGAGAUAGCUGGUUCUCCCCGAAAGCUAUUUAGGUAGCGCCUCGUGAAUUCAUCUCCGGGGGUAGAGCACUGUUUCGGCUAGGGGGCCAUCCCGGCUUACCAACCCGAUGCAAACUGCGAAUACCGGAGAAUGUUAUCACGGGAGACACACGGCGGGUGCUAACGUCCGUCGUGAAGAGGGAAACAACCCAGACCGCCAGCUAAGGUCCCAAAGUCAUGGUUAAGUGGGAAACGAUGUGGGAAGGCCCAGACAGCCAGGAUGUUGGCUUAGAAGCAGCCAUCAUUUAAAGAAAGCGUAAUAGCUCACUGGUCGAGUCGGCCUGCGCGGAAGAUGUAACGGGGCUAAACCAU
rnacentral:rRNA from 1 species